AUGAGAAACAGUAGUCAGCCACAAACUUUUUCUGUCCCAGGGAAAGAUUUUCCAGUUAUGGUUUUUUAAAAAACUUUCAUAUUUAUUUUGGGGGAGUCAUCUACACCUCUUUCUAAUAUUGUCUGAUUAAUAUUUCACCAAGUUAUUUUUCCUCUAAGGCCAUGGAAAAAUUGAGAUCUCUACACCAAAGUGUUCAUUUUAGAAGCUCAAUAAA
rfam:Loxodonta africana unplaced genomic scaffold scaffold_27, whole genome shotgun sequence.